AGGCUGUGCUGCCAUUCAGAGAGACCUGGACAGGCUGGAGAGCUGGACACUUGCCCGGAUCCCUGAGCGCCCAUCCUGUGCUGCUAACCCACAUACGGUGAAUGCACUGCCCAGAUCUGCCCACGCACGCAGUAAUUGGGGCCCUCCAAGCACAGACGUGUAGCUGGGGGGGCUCCGUGGGCAUCUCCAGGUGGGGAUCUCGCUGUGAUGUGGGGCAGGGAUGGACGGGCUGUGUGCUGUGCUGGGCAAGGCGUCCUGAGCUGUGGGUGGCACCGAGCCCCUCAGCAGCACUGCAGGAUGGCCAGGAGAGCGGCCAGCCCCUGGUGGGGGAAAGGAGGAUGUGUGAUGGAGGCAGAGGGCUGCAUUCCUUACCUGUGAAAUAACCCCUUGAAAUCAAAUGCUCGGGGAAUUCCGAGGUCUCUGCAGCAACAUUUCGGCGGUGACAGUGUGAGGAUUUGAGCGGGGCAGGCUCUGCAAGGGGAGAUUGUUAUCUGCUAAUAGACACAGAGAGCAGAUGGAGAAAUAGACCCACUUUUUACACA